UACGUAGGGGACAAGCGUUGUCCGGAUUUAUUGGGCGUAAAGAGCGUGUAGGCGGCCAUGCAGGUCCGUUGUGAAAACUCGAGGCUCAACCUCGAGACGUCGACGGAAACCAUCUGGCUAGAGUCCGGAAGAGGAGAGUGGAAUUCCUGGUGUAGCGGUGAAAUGCGCAGAUAUCAGGAAGAACACCGGUGGUGUAGACGGCUUUCUGGACCGUAACUGACGCUGAGACACGAAAGCGUGGGUAGCAAACAGG
rnacentral:rRNA from 1 species